UGACGAGAAUAAAUGAAUAUGUCAUUUCAAAUGCCUAAGUCCUAACUCCUAACUGAACAAAAAAUGAAAUAUAUUUGAAAUGUUACCCUUCAAAGAGUAUUGUGCCAACUUCUAAGUAACCGCUAAUUGAGUUUGUUAAUUGUUAGUUGUUACACUUACAAAAUUAUAAAUAAGUAAUGUGACUAACAGCCCCAGAAGGGUUUUAAGGAGAUAUAUUAGAAUAAGGGAUUGAGAAAGCUUUUAUGGAAAAUAAAAUAUACAACAUUUAAGUUUCCAAUGCAUUUGUUAUGCAUUCAUUCGAACAAAAAAAAUUUAAAAACUUCUACUAUCGGUAACCUUAACCUUUUGGGUACAUAUUAGCUAAACCCUUAAAGUAUUCUUACCCAAAGACAGCAAACAUCUUUCGAUAUUUCUGCUUAUCACAUCAAUAAAAAAAAAAAAAACCC